GAUGAACGCUGGCGGCGUGCCUAAUACAUGCAAGUCGAGCGAAGCGGGGACGGAUGAGUAACACGUGGAUAACCUCCUAUAAGACUGGGAUAACUUCGGGAAACCGGAGCUAAACCGGAUAAUUAUAGAUGGAUCCGCGCUGCAUUAGCUAGUUGGUAAGGUAACGGCUUACAAAGGCAACGAUGCAUAGCCGACAGGAGCGGGUGAUCGGCCACACGGGAACUGAGACACGGUCCAUACUCCUACGGGAGGCAGCAGUAGGGAAUCUUCCGCAAUGGGCGAAGGCCUGACGGAGCAACGCCGCGUGUGUGAUGAAGGUCUUCGGAUCGUAAAACUCUGUUAUUAGGUAAGCGGUACCUACUGAGAAAGCCACGGCUAACUACGUGCCAGCAGCCGCGGUAAUAC
rnacentral:rRNA from 1 species